UACGUAGGGUGCAAGCGUUGUCCGGAAUUAUUGGGCGUAAAGCGCACGUAGGCGGCUUUGUAAGUUAGAGGUGAAAGCCCGGGGCUCAACCCCGGAAUUGCCUUUAAGACUGCAUCGCUUGAACGUCGGAGAGGUGAGUGGAAUUCCGAGUGUAGAGGUGAAAUUCGUAGAUAUUCGGAAGAACACCAGUGGCGAAGGCGGCUCACUGGACGACUGUUGACGCUGAGGUGCGAAAGCGUGGGGAGCAAACAGG
rnacentral:rRNA from 1 species